rnacentral:lncRNA from 1 species
GUCUCCUCCAGAUUUUACUAAGGUUUGUCUAAGCGUGCAGUUUCAAAUUCCUUCUACUUCCUCAUGGCUCGAACCAAGGUUACCCCUCGCAGGGGCGUCAAUCAACGCCGUGUUCUCUCUUUGGAAGAAGAAGGUCGUCAAGCGGCCACUAGAGCUGGGCUUACUCGUCCAUGGGACCAUCGUCCUAUCCGUGAGCGUACCCGCAGUCCCCCUCCUCUGCCUCGUCGC